GAUGAACGCUGGCGGCGUGCCUAAUACAUGCAAGUCGAGCGAAAGGACGAGACGCUUGCUGCUCUCAUGUUAGCGGCGGACGGGUGAGAAACACGUGUAAAACCUACCUAUAAGAGUGGGAUAACUUCGGGAAACCGGAGCUAAUACCGGAUAAUAUUUUGAACCGCAUGGUUCAAAAGUGAAAGACGGUCUUGCUGUCACUUAUAGAUGGAUCCGCGCUGCAUUAGCUGGUAGGUAAGGUAACGGCUUACUAAGGCAACGAUGCAUGACCGACCUGAGAGGGUGAUCGGCCACACUAGAACUGAAACACGCUCCAGACUCCUACGGGAGGCAGCAGUAUGCAACCUUCCGCAAUAGGCGAAAGCCUGACGGAACGACGCCGCGUGAGUGAUGAAGGUCUUCGGUUCGUAAAACUCUGUUAUUAGGGAAGAACAUAUGUGUAAGUAACUGUGCACAUCUUGACGGUACCUAAUCAGAAAGCCACGGCUAACUACGUG
rnacentral:rRNA from 1 species